AUUCUCUCCAGUUGAUAUUCUUUGAGUAGUUCUAUAGGCCUAAAGCACGUGGUGGAGCUCAUCUGCUCAUGACCGCUUGGCACAGUCUAACCUAGCUUUCAAAACCUAUAAAAUAGUUUGGUUAGUUACCUUGACCUCCCCUUGAUCUGGGAAUGUCCUACCGAUGUAAGAUGGUGUGAGAUGCCUAAUCCCGAUAGAAUUCAGCAAAUCGGGCACCACUAAACUGACGACCAUCAUUCAUGAUCAGCACUCA
rnacentral:lncRNA from 1 species